AAAAUUAUAGAAAUAAGCUCAAAAAGAUUGGCGAAUAUACUUACAUCUGGCAAUUAUAUUUACCCAAGUUUAAGUUUGAAAUUACUCAUAGUUUACAUGGCAUUCAUAAAAAGACUCGGAAUCAAAUAAUAGAGAUUGCACAAUCGAAUGUUCCUCUAAAGGUGAACGAAAUCAUUCAAAAGAUUUCUAUAGAAUUUAACGAACACAAUUUCAUUACAACAGUUGACGAAAAAAAAUCAGAAGGAAUGCCAUCUCGCCGAAAGGAUUUCAUCGUAGAUCGUUCAUUCAUGUUUGUUAUCGAAAUAAAUGGAAUAGUAUUGUAUGCGGGAAGCAUGCGAAAACCAG